UCGGGUUGUAAAGCACUUUUGUCCGGAAAGAAAACUUCUGCCCUAAUACGGCGGGAGGAUGACGGUACCGGAAGAAUAAGCACCGGCUAACUACGUGCCAGCAGCGCGGUAAUCGUAGGGUGCGAGCGUUAAUCGGAAUUACUGGGCGUAAAGCGUGCGCAGGCGGUUCGUUAAGACAGAUGUGAAAUCCCCGGGCUUAACCUGGGAACUGCAUUUGUGACUGGCGAGCUAGAGUAUGGCAGAGGGGGGUAGAAUUCCACGUGUAGCAGUGAAAUGCGUAGAGAUGUGGAGGAAUACCGAUGGCGAAGGCAGCCCCCUGGGCCAAUACUGACGCUCAUGCACGAAAGCGUGGGGAGCAAACAGGAUUAGAUACCCUGGUAGUCCACGCCCUAAACGAUGUCAACUAGUUGUUGGGGAUUCAUUUCCUUAGUAACGUAGCUAACGCGUGAAGUUGACCGCCUGGGGAGUACGGUCGCAAGAUUAAAACUCAAAGGAAUUGACGGGGACCCGCACAAGCGGUGGAUGAAGGUGGAUUAAUUCGAUGCAACGCGAAAAACCUUACCUACCCUUGACAUGGUCGGAACCCUGCUG
rnacentral:rRNA from 1 species